GUGCUCUUAGCUCAGUUGGUUAGAGCAGAUGGCUCAUAACCGUCCGGUCGUAGGUUCGAGUCCUACAGGGUACA
rnacentral:tRNA from 7 species